rnacentral:rRNA from 1 species
GAUGAACGCUGGCGGCGUGCCUAAUACAUGCAAGUCGAGCGAAGCGGGGACGGGUGAGUAACACGUGGAUAACCUCCUAUAAGACUGGGAUAACGUCGGGAAACCGGAGCUAAACCGGAUACUUAUAGCUGGAUCCUCGCGGCAUUAGCUAGUUGGUAAGGUAACGGCUUACCAAGGCAACGAUGCAUAGCCGACCGGAGGGGGUGUUCUGCUACACUGUAGCGGUGACACAGACCGGACUCCUACGGAGUUCAUCGUUGGUGAAUCAUCCGCAAUGGGGCAAGUCCUGACGGAGAAACGCCGCGUGAGUGAUGAUGUUCUGCGGAUCGUACGACUCUGUUAUUUGGGAUGCGGUACCUAAUCUGAAAGCCACGGCUAACUACGUGCCAGCAGCCGCGGUAAUUC